UUUUUUGAAGAUUAUCUAGUUAAAAAAUAAGAAAAAGUUUUGGAUUAGUUUGAGAUAAUGGGGCUCAAACAGGGGCUAUGUAUACAUACGAUAUUCAAACAAUUUUGAGCAAAUUAGACAUUCACUAUCACAACUAGAUCAAAUAUACUUUUUAUCAGUACAUAUUAUAAGACCCAGAACUUAUUAUAAAUUUAUUUUCCAAAUAUUUCGUAGUACCUACAACUUAUAAGCACUACCAAGCAAGAAUACUAAAUGGAUAGUAAGUUGUGUGCAAAAGAGGAGAUGCUGACAUUGCACACAACAAAAGCAUAAUUAGGAGUUCCUUGUGUUCCAUGCAUCGAACUUGAAUCAUUUGUAAUUUCUUUUACUCAAAUGAUUGAAGCAAUUUAAAAUUCCCAUCCCUCCAAAGCCCCUUCUUCACAUCGAACUGAAUUUUCACUCUGACCUUUUACCCUAAUGAUGAAUAUGAUGCCAAUUCCUCAAAAUAAUAUAAUUAAUGCAUGGCCUCCUGGCCCUCCUCAUUGAAUACUUG
rnacentral:lncRNA from 1 species